GACGAACGCUGGCGGCGUGCUUAACACAUGCAAGUCGAACGGUAAGGCCCUUCGGGGUACACGAGUGGCGAACGGGUGAGUAACACGUGGGUGAUCUGCCCUGCACUUCGGGAUAAGCCUGGGAAACUGGGUCUAAUACCGGAUAGGACCACUGCCUGCAUGGGUGGUGGUGGAAAGCUUUUGCGGUGUGGGAUGGGCCCGCGGCCUAUCAGCUUGUUGGUGGGGUGAUGGCCUACCAAGGCGACGACGGGUAGCCGGCCUGAGAGGGUGACCGGCCACACUGGGACUGGGAUACGGCCCAGACUCCUACGGGAGGCAGCAGUGGGGAAGAUUGCACAAUGGGCGCAAGCCUGAUGCAGCGACGCCGCGUGAGGGAUGACGGCCUUCGGGUUGUAAACCUCUUUCAGCACCGACGAAGCGCAAGUGACGGUAGGUGCAGAAGAAGGACCGGCCAACUACGUGCCAGCAGCCGCCGUAA
rnacentral:rRNA from 1 species